rnacentral:lncRNA from 1 species
AAUUCAUUGGCCAAACCUCUCGCCUUGGUGUCGCCGCUGGUCUGUCCGAUGCGACGUAUUGUGGGCCUCACCAAGCUGAUUCGUCUCAGGAAAUCAGACGUGGCUAGAAGAUCGCUUCCCCCGCUGGCCGAUCGU